UACGGGGGAGCAAGCGUUGUUCGGAUUUACUGGGCGUAAAGGGCGCGUAGGCGGUCAGCACAAGUCAGUUGUGAAAUCUCCGGGCUUAACUCGGAAAGGUCAACUAAUACUGUGCGACUAGAGUGCAGAAGGGGCAACUGGAAUUCUCGGUGUAGCGGUGAAAUGCGCAGAUAUCAGGAAGAACACCCGUGGCUAAGGCGGCUCUCUAGUACGGUACUGACGCUGAGACGCGAAAGCGUGGGGAGCAAACAGG
rnacentral:rRNA from 1 species